GAGUAAGGCAACAUAGAUGAAUGUAAUUCUAGGUCAUUAAUAAUGGCCCAUUUUCAAGGAGUUGAAACAAAAAUCCUAACCCAAGAAUUCAUUUGUUGCCGCUAAACAUACACGAUAAACUACAAACAACCCUCAUUUUUUCAGAAUUUUGAAGAAAAAAAAAUGAUUUGGGGUGAAGUAAAACUUUAUACUCAAUCACAAUUUAUACCAUUUGUCCUCUUAAGAGAGAUUUGAGCUACAAUUCUCACUUUAUGUGCCUUUCUAUGUCUUCCUAGCCCUUGAUCGUUUUGUUUCUUCUAGAUAAUCUCAAGUCAUUCGGGAGCAGCCCUGUCCUCCUAGACCUUGAGAGCUCUAUUAUGAAGUUGAUCUUUUGGUUCCUUUGUUGUCCAUGUUUAAAUUGUACUAUCAUUUAUUUUGGCCCCAUCCUUUUGUACUUAGCAAGCUGCCCACGACACUGUUUUAUUGGUUGCUCCAAAUGCACCUCAUGUCUAGGACCCUCCUCCUUUCACCUUUUGUUGUGGCUUUUUUUGCUUAAUUGAUGAAUUUACCCUUCUUUCACACUUCCUUUUACUCUUUGAAGUCAAGUUCUCAUUGUCAUUAGGAAGUAAAAUCGUCCCCCAUCAAUCGUAAUGACUUAUCCCUAAUCAGAUAUCUUCUACAGAUGAGAGUAGGGUCAUCUGAGCCCUUGGCAAACUAUCAUACUCUUUCUUGAUAAACUCAUAUAUUGAGUCUUCAUAGAAUACAUUUCUUUAUCCAAUUGAUGCAACCCCUUUUCAAUCAUCUAUAACACAAGAAAAUAGUGGAUUAGACUAUAAACUCACAAGGCCUGACCACAAGGAUCUUAAGUUACAUCGUUAACCAACAAAAUUCCGAAGAGUUAACCCCUUUUCAAAAGGAAAACUAUAACCCAAGAAUUCCUUUUAUUUUUUAAUUAUCAACAUUAAUUUUUUCAAAAGUUCAAAAAAAAAAACAAACAAAUAUCUAUGGGGUGAAAGAAAACUUGCUACAAAUCAGUUAAUUGUAAUGAAAAGAUACAAAUUUGAGAUGAAAAAGCUUAAUUACUCAAAUGUAAGAAGGAUUGCCAUGCGUAGUAUGAUUUAUGGAGGACAAAUAGAAAACGGUUAAGGUGUUUAUGAAGAUUUUGGUUAUCAGAUAAUGGUACAUUGUGUUCAAUGUUUGAAAUUUUCACAAUUUCUUCUCUCAAUUUCUCCAUCUGUCUACUUAGUCUUGUUCUUCUGCUGCUGAAACUUAGGAUUUUCAAAAGUUUUUUGGUGUGUUGAUAGAUACAUCACUGUUGCUAUUCCCUAUUUAAAUUUCUCAACAAAACAGCCCAAAAACUUCACUAAAUAGGGAAUACCAGCAGUGAUGUAUCUGUCAAAACACCAAAAAACUUGUGAAAACCCCAAGUUUCAGCAGCUGGAGAAAAAGAUUGAGGAGAUAGAAUUAGAGAAAUGAGAGGAGUUGUUAAAAUCUCUAACAGUGAACCCAAUGUGCCAUUAUUUGAGAUCCAAAACUCGACUCUUCAACAACACCUUAACUAAUUUUUGUCUAAUCUUCAUACUAUUGGAUGCAUCUUCCUUAUACUUGGAUGAUUGAAAAGGCGUUGCAGGAUUGGAUGAAAAAGGGGAUUCUAGUGCAGACGCAAUAUCCCAGUUUAUCAACAAAAGAGUAUGACAAUUUGCCAAGGGGUCAUACAACCCUGCUGAAACAUCAUCUGCAUAAGAUGUGUGAAAAGAUGAAGUCCUUAUGAUUGAUGGAGGACAAUUUUUGCUUCCUGCAGACAACGAAAGGUUGAAUCCAAUAAGAAAAGGGGGAGUUAAUCAAAUAAACAAAAGAAGCAACAUCCAAAGGAAAAGGAGGAGGAUCCUUGACAUGAGGUGCAUUUGGAUCGACCAAAAAAAUAGGGUCGUGGAGGGCUGCUAAGUUCAAGGAGGACGGGGGCAAAAUAGAUUAUAGUACAACUUCAACAUUGGCAAUAAAGAAACCAAAAGAUCAGCGUGAGAGGGCUCUCAAGGAAUAUGAGGACGGGGCUGAUCCAGAUACUAUACUUCUGAAGGACUUGCGAUUGUCUAGAAGAAGCAACACGAUUAAGGACUAGCUAGAAAGGCGUUGAAGGCACAGUAAGGUGAGCACUCCCAGAAGUUCAAAUGUUAGUGGAUACGUAGUAGUUUCUUGUACUCUAUAUAUAAUAUAUUAAUUCAAACUAAUAGUUUUGUUUAUUUGAAAGAAGCUAUAUAUAUUAUUAGUUACUAGUCGCUUGUAGUUUCCUCAUCUUUAAGUUAUGCUCUAUACAAUAGAAUCUGUGUACUCUGUACAGGCUUAGCCUGUUAGUGCUGUGAAUAUUUAUAAAAUGUUGAAGUCUGAACCAUUGUUGUGUACAUUUCUUUAAAGAUAGUCGAUAUAUCUCC